rnacentral:rRNA from 1 species
UACGUAGGGGGCUAGCGUUGUCCGGAAUCAUUGGGCGUAAAGAGCUUGUAGGCGGUUUGUCGCGUCUGCUGUGAAAUUCCGGGGCUCAACUCCGGACUUGCAGUGGGUACGGGCAGGCUAGAGUGUGGUAGGGGAGACUGGAAUUCCUGGUGUAGCGGUGAAAUGCGCAGAUAUCAGGAAGAACACCCGUGGCGAAGGCGGCUCUCUGGAACGCAACUGACGCUGAGACGCGAAAGCGUGGGGAGCAAACAGG